rnacentral:rRNA from 1 species
AGAGUUUGAUCCUGGCUCAGGAUGAACGCUGGCGGCAUGCCUAAUACAUGCAAGUCGAACGAGAGGAAGGAAAGCUUGCUUUCCUAAAUCUAGUGGCGAACGGGUGAGUAACACGUAGGUAACCUGCCCAUGUGCCCGGGAUAACUUCUGGAAACGGAUGCUAAAACCGGAUAGGUAGCAGACAAGCAUUUGACUGCUAUUAAAGUGGCCUUGGCCAUGAACAUGGAUGGACCUGCGGUGCAUUAGCUGGUUGGUGAGGUAACGGCCCACCAAGGCGACGAUGCAUAGCCGGCCUGAGAGGGCGGACGGCCACAUUGGGACUGAGACACGGCCCAAACUCCUACGGGAGGCAGCAGUAGGGAAUUUUCGUCAAUGGGGGGAACCCUGAACGAGCAAUGCCGCGUGAGUGAGGAAGGUCUUCGGAUCGUAAAGCUCUGUUGUAAGAGAAAAACGGCACUCAUAGGGAAUGAUGAGUGAGUGAUGGUAUCUUACCAGAAAGUCACGGCUAACUACGUGCCAGCAGCCGCGGUAAUACGUAGGUGGCGAGCGUUAUCCGGAAUGAUUGGGCGUAAAGGGUGCGUAGGUGGCAGAUCAAGUCUGGAGUAAAAGGUAUGGGCUCAACCCGUACUGGCUCUGGAAACUGAUCAGCUAGAGAACAGAAGAGGACGGCGGAACUCCAUGUGUAGCGGUAAAAUGCGUAGAUAUAUGGAAGAACACCGGUGGCGAAGGCGGCCGUCUGGUCUGGAUUCUGACACUGAAGCACGAAAGCGUGGGGAGCAAAUAGGAUUAGAUACCCUAGUAGUCCACGCCGUAAACGAUGAGAACUAGGUGUUGGGGGAAUAACUCAGUGCCGCAGUUAACGCAGUAAGUUCUCCGCCUGGGGAGUAUGCACGCAAGUGUGAAACUCAAAGGAAUUGACGGGGGCCCGCACAAGCGGUGGAGUAUGUGGUUUAAUUCGAAGCAACGCGAAGAACCUUACCAGGCCUUGACAUCCCUUGCAGAGGUAUAGAGAUAUAUCCGAGGUUAUCAAGGAGACAGGUGGUGCAUGGUUGUCGUCAGCUCGUGUCGUGAGAUGUUGGGUUAAGU